UGUCUGUUCUGGUGGUUACCCACUUUCUUCUCCCCUGGUUCAGGGAAAGUGGGGAAAAAAGGUUUGCCUUUGCCCAGCAGCACUGCAGGUGUCUGUCCCUCUGAAAGAGUCCCAGCGGUGUGGGCGUGCUGGAAAGAAAAAUCCCCAGUGACUUCACCCAGCUUGGCUUGUGGUGGUUACUCACAAUGAGCCUUUACACUGCUAUUACAGCUCUGGUAUCCUAUAGCAAGUAAGAACAUAACAUUACAUCUGUUCACACGUGGGAGAUGGAGGAACUGCAUUAAGAGCCCAUCAGAUAGGAAGGUUCUUGUCCUGUUUGAAACACCAAAGAAGGCAGAAUUUUCAGUGCUGGUGGUUUGUGGAAAAAAAGAAAAAAAGCUACGGAGGACGUUUUACGUUGGGCAGAGAUUUCAGGCUGCAGCAAGAUCCAGCCUGUGCACUUGUGAAAGGCUGUGCUCUCCUCUGGGGCUGGAGGAAGACAAAGGCACCAUUCAAGGAUGAGCUCCAACCCAGAACCCAUUCUGAACAGGAACCUGACCAUCUUGUCUUGGAGGCUUGGUGUGAGAACCAUAUGGAAGGGAAGAAGUAUCCUAGACCCAAGAUGCAAGUUCAUGGAUUGUAGAGGAAGACAGGAGGCCAAACACUGAAACAGCAUCUAACAGAAGUGCACACUGGGUCAAAAUUUCCACUUCUAUUUGGUCGAAUUUCCAACAUAAAUUAAACCAUUUUCUCGAAGUCGUGGCUUUUCCCAUUGGUAAGCUAUGAAUCUUCCCUCACAGUUAAUUCACUAUUUUCAGUUAGUUACAAUCGCUCAUAGGCUGCACAAUCUCUGAGCACAUUAGAGCCAUAGUAGAACUGUCUGGCAUUUGUAAACAGACAACACUUGGGACUUUGUAAUACUCUAACUCAGUGCACUAGUGUGCCAAAAUAAAGGUCAUUUCAAUUUCAUAUUAUGUCACGCAGUUUUGAAGUGACAUGUGUUUAAUGAUUUUUUUCUCCAGUAAAUGAAUGAAAGCAAGCAUCAAACUAAUACGCUUUGAUGAUGUGCCCACAAAGAAGAGGCAAAAAUCUUUUCAAAAACAUUAAACUAAUAUUUUACCAGAAAAAAACCCCACAACCCAAUACAAAGAUUCAAAC
rnacentral:lncRNA from 1 species